UCACUAAGCGGAGGAAAAGAAACCAACAGGGAUGCCCCUAGUAAUGGCGAAUGAAGCGGGCAGAGCUCACGCCGGAAAUCCGGAGGCCUCUUACAGCCGCCUCCUGAAUUGUAGUCUGGAGAGGUGCCAUCGGUCCCCCUCGGCGCCAAAAUCCCUUGGAACGGGGUAUCGGAGAAGGUGAGAAUCCUGUCAAGCGCCGGAGUGGGACCGUACGAUGUGCUCUCGUAGAGUCGGGCUGCUUGGGAGUGCAGCCUGAAGCGGGUGGUAAAUUCCAUCUAAAGCUAAAUACUGGCGGG
rnacentral:rRNA from 1 species